CCCGCUGAACUUAAGCAUAUCAAUAAGCGGAGGAAAAGAAACUAACAAGGAUUCCCCUAGUAACUGCGAGUGAAGCGGGAAAAGCUCAAAUUUGAAAUCUGGCGGCUCUGCCGUCCGAGUUGUAUUCUGGAGAAGUGCCUUCCGCGCCGGACCGUGUACAAGUCCCUUGGAACAGGGCGUCAUAGAGGGUGAGAAUCCCGUCUUUGACACGGACCCCCGGUGCUCUGCGAUGCGCUCUCGAAGAGUCGGGUUGUUUGGGAAUGCAGCUCAAAAUGGGUGGUAAAUUCCAUCUAAAGCUAAAUAUUGGCGAGAGACCGAUAGCGAACAAGUACCGUGAGGGAAAGAUGAAAAGCACUUUGGAAAGAGAGUAAAACAGUACGUGAAAUUGUUGAAAGGGAAACGCUUGAAGUCAGUCGCGUCUGCCGGAACUCAGCCCUGCUUCUGCUUGGCGCACUUUCCGGUCCGACGGGUCAGCAUCAAUUUCGACCGCCGGACAAAGGUCAGGGGAAUGUGGCAUCCUUCGGGAUGUGUUAUAGCCCUUGAUUCGCAUACGGCGAUUGGGAUUGAGGAACUCGGCGCUUCACGCGUCCAGGAUGCUGGCAUAAUGGCUUUAAGCGACCCGUCUUGAAACACGG
rnacentral:rRNA from 1 species